GUGGGGAAUAUUGCACAAUGGGCGAAAGCCUGAUGCAGCAACGCCGCGUGAGGGACGACGGCCUUCGGGUUGUAAACCUCUUUUAGUAGGGAAGAAGCGAAAGUGACGGUACCUGCAGAAAAAGCACCGGCUAACUACGUGCCAGCAGCCGCGGUAAUACGUAGGGUGCAAGCGUUAUCCGGAAUUAUUGGGCGUAAAGAGCUCGUAGGCGGUCUGUCGCGUCUGCUGUGAAAACUGGAGGCUCAACCUCCAGCCUGCAGUGGGUACGGGCAGAAUAGAGUGCGGUAGGGGAGAUUGGAAUUCCUGGUGUAGCGGUGGAAUGCGCAGAUAUCAGGAGGAACACCGAUGGCGAAGGCAGAUCUCUGGGCCGUAACUGACGCUGGGGAGCGAAAGCGUGGGGAGCGAACAGGAUUAGAUACCCGAGUAGUCC
rnacentral:rRNA from 1 species